AGGAAUUUCUUUAAAAUCUUUUCUUUAAAACUGUGCACCAUGAUCGAUUGGAUCUUCAGUAAACAUAAGCAGCGUAUUUUUUUUUUUUUUUUUUUUGGUCUCUCCUGCUGCUGCUGCUGCUGCUGCCAAGUCACUUCAGUUGUGUCCGACUCUGUGCAACCCCAUAGAUGGCAGCCCACCAGGCUCCUCUGUCCCUGGGAUUCUCCAGGCAAGAACGCUAGAGUGGGUUGCCAUUUCCUUCUCCAACGCAUGAAAGUGAAAAGUGAAAGUGAAGUCAGUCAGUUGUGUCUGACCCUCAGCUACCCCAUGGACUGCAUUCUACCAGGCUCCUCCAUCCCUGGGAUUUUCCAGGCAAUUGGAAAAUCGGUUGCCAAGAGGUUGCCAUUGCCUUCUCCAUUGUCUCUCCUAGUCUGGGCAAAUGAGGUAUUUCUGUCUUCAGCUCUGAGAAGCAAAGGAAUGGAAGGCUGUGACUGUGAACACUUUGACCUUGGCGCUGUCUCAUGACAAAGUGGUUUUGACUGGGCAACUUGGACAAUAUUAAAGAUAAAAGCCUGUGUAUUCUGCUUUUCCUGAUAUCAACCAGCAAAGGCAGCACCAGGGUUCACAUCACUCCAGACUGUCAAUUUCAAAGGCU
rnacentral:lncRNA from 1 species